rfam:Myotis davidii contig52430, whole genome shotgun sequence.
GCCCGUGUGCUCAGUGGUUAGAGCGUCGGCCUGCACACCAGAGGGUCGCGGGUUUGAUUCCCUUCAAAGGCA